UACGGGGGGGGGCAAGCGUUGUUCGGAAUUACUGGGCGUAAAGGGCUCGUAGGCGGCCAACUAAGUCAGACGUGAAAUCCCUCGGCUUAACCUGGGGACUGCAUUUGAUACUGGAUUGCUUGAAUUCGGGAGAGGAUAGCGGAAUUCCCAGUGUAGAGGUGAAAUUCGUAGAUAUUGGGAAGAACACCGGUGGCGAAGGCGGCUAUCUGGACCGACAUUGACGCUGAGGCGCGAAAGCGUGGGGAGCAAACAGG
rnacentral:rRNA from 1 species